rnacentral:rRNA from 1 species
CUACGGGAUGCUGCAGUAGGGAAUCUUCGGCAAUGGACGGAAGUCUGACCGAGCAACGCCGCGUGAGUGAAGAAGGUUUUCGGAUCGUAAAGCUCUGUUGUAAGAGAAGAACGAGUGUGAGAGUGGAAAGUUCACACUGUGACGGUAUCUUACCAGAAAGGGACGGCUAACUACGUGCCAGCAGCCGCGGUAAUACGUAGGUCCCGAGCGUUGUCCGGAUUUAUUGGGCGUAAAGCGAGCGCAGGCGGUUAGAUAAGUCUGAAGUUAAAGGCUGUGGCUUAACCAUAGUACGCUUUGGAAACUGUUUAACUUGAGUGCAGAAGGGGAGAGUGGAAUUCCAUGUGUAGCGGUGAAAUGCGUAGAUGUAUGGAGGAACACCGGUGGCGAAAGCGGCUCUCUGGUCUGUAACUGACGCUGAGGCUCGAAAGCGUGGGGAGCAAACAGGAUUAGAUACCCGAGUAGUC